CAUGCCUAAUACAUGCAAGUCGAACGAGAGUAGCAAUACUCUAGUGGCGAACGGGUGAGUAACACGUAGGAAACCUACCUCAAAGACGAGGAUAACUACUGGAAACGGUAGCUAAAACUGGAUAGGAUAUACAAAGGCAUCUUAGUAUAUUUAAAAGUCCUUCUGGGAAUGCUAUGAGAUGGUCCUGCGGCGCAUUAGCUAGUUGGUGAGGUAAAGGCCCACCAAGGCGACGAUGCGUAGCUGUGCUGAGAGGCAAAACAGCCACACUGGGACUGAGACACGGCCCAGACUCCUACGGGAGGCAGCAGUAGGGAAUUUUCGGCAAUGGGCGAAAGCCUGACCGAGCAAUGCCGCGUGAAUGAAGAAAUUCUUCGGAAUGUAAAAUUCUGUGGUGAGGGAAGAAAGGUAUUAGAAGGAAAUGGCUAAUAUUUGACGGUACCUUACUAGAAAGCCCCGGCUAACUAUGUGCCAGCAGCCGCGGUAAUACAUAGGGGGCAAGCGUUAUCCGGAAUUAUUGGGCGUAAAGCGUGCGUAGGCGGCCACUUAAGUCUGUCGUGAAAGCCCACAGCUUAACUGUGGAGGGUCGAUGGAAACUGAGAGGCUUGAAUCUAGGAGAGGUAAGUGGAAUUCCAUGUGUAGCGGUAAAAUGCUUAGAUAUAUGGAGGAACACCAGUGGCGAAGGCGGCUUACUGGUCUAGAAUUGACGCUGAUGCACGAAAGCGUGGGUAGCAAACAGGAUUAGAUACCCUGGUAGUCCACGCCGUAAACGAUGAGCACUAAGUGUCGGACGUAAGUUCGGUGCUGAAGUUAACGCAUUAAGUGCUCCGCCUGGGGAGUACGGUCGCAAGACUGAAACUCAAAGGAAUUGACGGGGACUCGCACAAGCGGUGGAGCAUGUGGUUUAAUUCGACGCAACGCGAAAAACCUUACCAGGCCUUGACAUACCGAUGACGUCUUUAGAGAUAGAGAGUUACCUUCGGGUACAUCGG
rnacentral:rRNA from 1 species